UGGACGGAUCGGGCUGUUUGGCAUGCAGAUAGCUAUUAUGACGUAGACAUCCGUUAAGAAAGGAUUUUUGAAAAUUCAAUCACUAAGGGGGUGAAAUAGGGGUUCGGAAUUUGAGUGGUCCACGCGAUGAAGUCGUGAGCAUAAGCUAGUAGGUUAUCAAAUUUAAU